rnacentral:rRNA from 1 species
GACGAACGCUGGCGGCGGGCUUAACACAUGCAAGUCGAACGGAAAGGCCCUGCUUUUGUGGGGUGCUCGAGUGGCGAACGGGUGAGUAACACGUGAGUAACCUGCCCUUGACUUUGGGAUAACUUCAGGAAACUGGGGCUAAUACCGGAUAGCAUCUCCUGCUGCAUGGUGGGGGGGGGAAAUUUUAGGCGGUUGGGGAUGGACGCGCGGCUUAUCAGCUUGUUGGUGGGGUAGUGGCUUACCAAGGCUUUGACGGGUAGCCGGCCUGAGAGGGUGAACGGCCACAUUGGGACUGAGAUACGGCCCAGACUCCUACGGGAGGCAGCAGUGGCGAAUAUUGCACAAUGGGCGGAAGCCUGAUGAAGAAACGCCGCGUGUGGGAUGACGGCCUUCGGGUUGUAAAAAGCUUUCGCCUGUGACGCAGCGUGAGUGACGGUAAUGGGUAAAGAAGCACCGGCUAACUACGUG